GUAGAGGGGGAGAAGAACCUCCCUUGACCUGCUGGCCACACUCUUCUUGAUGCAUCCCAGGAUGCCAUUGGCUUAUCGGUGCCUUUGGAUUUCUCAUCUUUCUUGGCACUCACAGACGGGAGAAAUGAGACCAUCAUUUUAACUGAACAUGUGCCACAGGGAUACACCAUGGGCUGGGUGAGGGGUGAUGCUCUGCCAGGACUUCUUGCAGCACUUGGGCUUGGAGAUGUUUUGUAAGGUGGGAGGUGAAGUCCCCACCUUUGGACCCCUGUGUUAGGAAAGCCUCCCAAUAUGAUUAAUCUCUCCUUCCAGUAAAAAAUACAGCGUGCCUCUUCUUCUGACAAGUCUCACAAGAAAGGAAGCACAGUUGUCUACAACAGCCCGCUCCUUGUUUUGGUUCAUAAGCAGCCUCAGCCUGCACUGGAUUUUCAAAGGCUGGCUGAACAAAAUCCCUGGGUUUACCAGCAGAAAGAAAAAAGAGUUGAUUGGAAAAAUCUCAGUUUGGGUACAUUUCACAACUGGUCUUUCCACUCUUCCAUUUAACAUGGCAGACUGACAGGCUGUAAAAUACAUCUAGCUGUAAAGAAGAAAAUGUUGUUUCUCUCUGCCCAGCCUCAUUUUUCAAAGCUGAGCGUCCAGUUGCAUACCUGUGUGAAACCUCCAGGGCCCUAGAGGCUUAAUGCAGCAAUAGGAAUUCUUUUUUUUUAUUGUCCACAUUACAUUUUUCAGUGCCUUUUGGUCAAUAUCCCAGACUAGAGAAAGUAAGGACAGACUGAAAACAAAUGAACUCUCCUCUUAAAUUUAGAGUCUGCCCAAAGCAGUGGAGUAACUGAGGCGUUGACACAGUCUCUGCACCAGCGGCUUUGCAAGAACCUUCUCCUUUGCCCUGACGUGUGGUAGAGCCGCUGCUCAGGGAGGCUCAGGAGUCUUGUCAUCAAAACACACAGGCUGAGCAACAGGGUUUUGCAGCUCUCUUCAGAUGGGUUUGCACUUUUACUCCCGCCUGACUCGGAAGUGGAAUGGCCCCUGAGAAAACGGUGCAUUUCAUAAGAAAGGAAUGUUUUCCAUCCUUUCCUAGCACUCCCAUUGCCCUUCUGUGUGUCCAGCCCUCUCAGGCCAGUGUGAUGUGGGAGGAGACGUUUCUAGCAGCAAACAACUCCGUUUCUCUUUCACCUAUGACAUUCCUACACAACACAAAAAGCCCUGCAACAAAAGUUAGUAUUUGAUGGUUUUUUUCCUUUUUUCUUUCUUUUUCUUAAACACUCACAUGUCAUAUCCUGUACAGGCAGUUGCUUUAAUGGUUGUGUUGCCAACAAAGACGCUUGUGUUUAAGUGCCUGCUCCUUUACAACCAUAGUGGCUUUUAAUGAAAGAUUUUGUCUUCAUAAGGCCAAAAUGUUCUUUAUCCAGCUUUGGCUUUUGAAAGAAACACUGUGAGUGUUUCUGGAUUGGAUGUGAAAUGUGUAAAUUCUGUAUUACCAAAGUGGAAAAUCUGUCCUUUCCUGAUUAAUAGACCAUAUCAAAAGAGGUGAGUGGUUCAAGCCUAAAUGGCCUUACACACUAUGAAUUCAUGAGUUUUACAUCCCCAGGACGGGGAAUAUUUAA